UACAGAGGUGGCAAGCGUUGUUCGGAAUUACUGGGCGUAAAGGGCGCGUAGGCGGCCUGUUAAGUCGGACGUGAAAUCCCUCGGCUCAACCGGGGAACUGCGUCCGAAACUGGCGGGCUUGAAUUCGGGAGAGGGAUGUGGAAUUCCAGGUGUAGCGGUGAAAUGCGUAGAUAUCUGGAGGAACACCGGUGGCGAAGGCGGCAUCCUGGACCGACAUUGACGCUGAGGCGCGAAAGCCAGGGGAGCAAACGGG
rnacentral:rRNA from 1 species